rnacentral:rRNA from 1 species
UACGUAGGGGGCAAGCGUUAUCCGGAUUUACUGGGUGUAAAGGGAGCGUAGACGGUUAAGCAAGUCUGAAGUGAAAGCCCGGGGCUCAACCCCGGUACUGCUUUGGAAACUGUUUGACUUGAGUGCAGGAGAGGUAAGUGGAAUUCCUAGUGUAGCGGUGAAAUGCGUAGAUAUUAGGAGGAACACCAGUGGCGAAGGCGGCUUACUGGACUGUAACUGACGUUAAGGCUCGAAAGCGUGGGGAGCAAACAGG